rnacentral:rRNA from 1 species
CCUACGGGAGGCAGCAGUGGGGAAUCUUGCGCAAUGGGCGAAAGCCUGACGCAGCCAUGCCGCGUGAAUGAUGAAGGUCUUAGGAUUGUAAAAUUCUUUCACCGGGGACGAUAAUGACGGUACCCGGAGAAGAAGCCCCGGCUAACUUCGUGCCAGCAGCCGCGGUAAUACGAAGGGGGCUAGCGUUGCUCGGAAUUACUGGGCGUAAAGGGAGCGUAGGCGGAUAGUUUAGUCAGAGGUGAAAGCCCAGGGCUCAACCUUGGAAUUGCCUUUGAUACUGGCUAUCUUGAGUAUGGGAGAGGUAUGCGGAACUCCGAGUGUAGAGGUGAAAUUCGUAGAUAUUCGGAAGAACACCAGUGGCGAAGGCGGCAUACUGGCCCAUUACUGACGCUGAGGCUCGAAAGCGUGGGGAGCAAACAGGAUUAGAUACCCUGGUAGUCCACGCUGUAAACGAUGAGUGCUAGUUGUCGGCAUGCAUGCAUGUCGGUGACGCAGCUAACGCAUUAAGCACUCCGCCUGGGGAGUACGGUCGCAAGNUUAAAACUCAAAGGAAUUGACGG